UUUUUUUUUUUUUUUUUUUUUUUUUUUUUUGCUGCUCCUCCUCUCUUAGCUUUCCAAUCAAGCCCUUGCUAGAACAACCAUCUGCAGCAGCUACCCCACCACAAAAUCACCACCUUCUAGCCUACCUGAAUCACAAAAUCACCAACCCAAGCCACCCUUACAAAUCCACCAAGUCAGGCCACCCAUACGAGCCACACCACAAAACCACCAAUCGACGCACACCGCGAAGACAUGAAGCCACCACCGUGUCGUCUAGCCCAUCCUCAUCUCAAAAUUACCACCUACCAACCCACCCACACUACAAAAUCAUCACCAUAAAUCCCACCAAUAUACUACGCCAAUUAUGCAAAAAUCAAAAGCUCUUACCAUCCAAAAUCAGGGAUAAUACAAGCAGCUUUGGAGGAGAAUCGUGACUGCGGCUCGGGCUUCACGGUGAGUGACCUUGAAGGAUUAGGGUGAGAUGGAUCAGGCCGAGAAUCGCCACCAUUGUAGCGUGCUAUAACUGAGUGAACUCAAAUGUCAUUAGAGGAGAUAAAUGGAGGUAGAAGAAGAAUGAUGGUGGUGACGAUUGAGGUGGUGGACUAGUGGUUGAAGUGUGGAUGGUGGAGACUAGAGCAGUUGUGGUGGUUAUGCCGUGAAAGGAGAGAUUGAGAAUAAAUUACUGUAAUUAAAAUAUAUUACCGAUUUAACGGGUAACAAGUUAUACUGGAUUGUUUUGAGAAGAAAUUGUUAUAAUUGGAACUGCCCUUGUUUAUUUGAAAGGUAAGACUUUUUAAAGAAGAAUGGAUAUAGUUGGCAUCUUUGUUGUUAAUUUUUCCAAAAUAAAAAGGGCAGAAGAAUUUCUUCUCAUACCAUUUUCACAUCAUUAUUCAGUUACCUAAUUCAUCAGUUGCAGACUUGCAGUACGCCAGUUAUGCCGCGAUUUGAGUUCUCUCAUUUAUAUCUUCAUUUCCCUCUUUUCUCCACCAUUCUUCUCUAACAAGCUGCUCCUUCCAUACAAUUCCCUCCUUUCCAUAUCUCUCUCAUUUGUCGUUGCAAAUUUCUAGUAAUUUCUGGCAAAAUUGACCCUUCAAACCCCAGAUUUCAAAACCCACAAACUCUACUCCUCAAAUUCCCAAAUGGGUGAUGCCCGGCGAUCCGCAUCGGUCCCAAUACCGGACAUCAACAAAUCAGACUGGUCCGAGCUGCUUCGAGCCCUCGAAACAUCGCUGGGUCCGGACUUCAAUUUCUUUUGUUUUUCGGGAUUGAUUUCAGAGAAAUUGGGAUCAUGUUGCUACCAGGAUGUACAAGUACAUGCAAAAAGAUAUAUAUUGAAGACAAAGACGAAGAGUGGAUCUAUUAGCACUUUAGAUUGCCUAUAGUCAUUUGACCCAUUUUCCUCUUUGAACGUCACAUUCCUUCCCCUGUGUAUUGAAUUAAAUAUAAACAAAUAAAUAAUUAGUGGUAUUAGAAAUGUAUUAGAUCGUGAAUUACAGGUUAUUUAGGAUUUUUAAGAGAAGAUAUAUUGUGUAGUGAAAUUUUAUUGGAUAUUGCUUUUUGGAUUUUGAUGAGUUCACAUGAAUUUUGUUAUAAAAUCAAUUUUCUUCUA